rnacentral:lncRNA from 1 species
GGCCGGGCGCGCGGCCCCGGCGGGCACCCCUCCGAGGGCGGCCGAGGAAGCUCCGGGAGGAGGUGCAGGACCACGAGGAGGUGGGAGGCGGCGGCCGCCUAGGGACCCGCUCCGCGCCUCGUCCUCUCCGCCCCCUCCCCAGCCUUUCUCUCACCCUCUUCUCCCACACUCCGGGCCGGCGCCUCGGCUUUGUGCGAGGAGAUGGUGUAGCCCCCUGGCCGCCGAAGGAGGAGCCGAACACUUGUCUCCCGUCUCCGAGCUGCUCCCCACCCCUGGAGGAGAGACCCCCUCUGCUCGGCGCCUUCCGCGUCUCCCAGCUGGUGGGGAAGCCUCUACGCCGCCGGCACCAUGAGCCUUUCCUAAGCCUGUUUUGUGUCCAUAACCUUCUCUUUUCGGAUUGGUGCAAGACUUCGUGAGAAAUGGGACUUGGUAGACUGAAGGCUGAUCCAUUCUGCGUUAUCAUCCUUAAAGGCCUUCCUUUUGGGUUAAACAAUUGUGGAUAAAGUAAAUUACUCCAUUUCUCUCUCCUGGAAGAGAUAGUCUUACAGUUCAUUUGGAUUUGAAUCUCCUUUGUGUUAAAGAUUAAUGGUCAACCGUUGCCAAGACCUUUAUAAUGUAAUACAAUGAGAUUUGAAUGAUAUAAUCUACAAAUUCCUUCGCUUUGGCAAGAAAAUGUCAUGUCAUUGGAAUUCUUUCUCAAUUUCGGUGGUUUCCAUUUUAAACUUUGCUUUUCAUUUUUUUCUGUCAAGGUUGAGCGUGUUUCCAUUUGGCUUUUGUAUGUAUAUAUUUUGUGAUAUAUCUGUGUUGAAUUUUCACUUUCGCUUACUGUGAAUUUGAAUUUUUUUAUCUGAUUCCAAGUUACCUGUAUUUAUGAUGGCCUUAAAGAGUGAGUUUAAUGUUGUGUCUCUAGGUGACUGACCCCUUUUCCCUUGAUGAUUUCGCACAAGUUAUUUUCAAAUAUAAGCGAUCAGUUUAAAUAGUAAUUAUAGCAUACAAACCAAAAAACACAGUCUUUGUAAAAUAUGGCUUGAAAACUUUCAGUCAUAUGUUUGAGCAUGACUUUUUUUACUGAUGUCCUUGAAAACUCAGGAACUAUAAUAUAUACUGUUAUAUCUUGUAAUAUUAUAUGUUGUUGGUUUCUGUUUUAGAGAUCUAAUGCCGUAGGGAUCUUACCAUAAGUUAUCAGUUGUUUCAAACUUUGGGUAAACUUAUCUUAACAUUGA